AGAGUUUGAUCCUGGCUCAGAUUGAACGCUGGCGGCAGGCCUAACACAUGCAAGUCGGGCGGUAACAGGGAGAAGCUUGCUUCUCUGCUGACGAGCGGCGGACGGGUGAGUAAUGUAUGGGGAUCUGCCGAAUGGAAUGGGACAACAGUUGGAAACGACUGCUAAUACCGUAUAAUGUCGCGAGACCAAAGUGUGGGACCUUCGGGCCUCGCACCAUCAGAUGAACCCAUAUGGGAUUAGCUUGUAGGUGAGGUAACGGCUCACCUAGGCGACGAUCUCUAGCUGGUCUGAGAGGAUGACCAGCCACACUGGAACUGAGACACGGUCCAGACUCCUACGGGAGGCAGCAGUGGGGAAUAUUGCACAAUGGGCGCAAGCCUGAUGCAGCCAUGCCGCGUGUAUGAAGAAGGCCUUCGGGUUGUAAAGUACUUUCAGCGGGGAGGAAGGCGAUAAGGUUAAUAACCUUGUCGAUUGACGUUACCCGCAGAAGAAGCACCGGCUAACUCCGUGCCAGCCGCCGCGGUAAUUC
rnacentral:rRNA from 1 species